UUUAAUCUUGCGACCGUACUCCCCAGGCGGAAUGCUUAAUCCGUUAGGUGUGACACCAACAAGCAUGCUUGCUGACGUCUGGCAUUCAUCGUUUACGGUGUGGACUACCAGGGUAUCUAAUCCUGUUUGCUCCCCACACUUUCGCACCUCAGCGUCAGUAUCGAGCCAGUAAGCCGCCUUCGCCACUGGUGUUCCUCCAAAUAUCUACGAAUUUCACCUCUACACUUGGAAUUCCACUUACCUCUCUCGAACUCAAGACUAGCAGUAUUAAAGGCAGUUCCAGGGUUGAGCCCUGGGAUUUCACCUCUAACUUACUAAUCCGCCUACGUGCGCUUUACGCCCAGUAAUUCCGAACAACGCUAACCCCCUCCGUAUUACCGCGGCUGCUGGCACGGAGUUAGCCGGGGUUUCUUUACCAGAUACUGUCAUUAUCAUCUCUGGCGAAAGUGCUUUACGACCCUAAGGCCUUCAUCACACACGCGGCAUGGCUAGAUCAGGGUUUCCCCCAUUGUCUAAGAUUCCCUACUGCUGCCUCCCGUAGGAGUCUGGGCCGUGUCUCAGUCCCAGUGUGGCUGAUCAUCCUCUCAAACCAGCUAUAGAUCGUAGGCUUGGUAGGCCAUUACCCCACCAACUACCUAAUCUAACGCGGGCUAAUCCUUCUCCGAUAAAUCUUUCCCCCGAAGGGCGUAUAAGGUAUUACUCUCCGUUUCCAGAGGCUAUUCCUUAGAGAAGGGCAUAUUCCCACGCGUUACUCACCCGUCCGCCGCUCAUCCCGAAGGAUGCGCUCGACUUGCAUGUAUUAGGCCUGCCGCCAGUGUUCGUUCUGAGCCAGGAUCAAACUCU
rnacentral:rRNA from 1 species